rnacentral:rRNA from 2 species
UGCAGUCGAGCGAACUAAUGGGAGCUUGCUCCCAAGAGGUUAGCGGCGGACGGGUGAGUAACACGUGGGCAACCUGCCCUGUAGAUCGGGAUAACAUCGAGAAAUCGGUGCUAAUACCGGAUAAUUUCUAGAAUCUCAUGGUUCUAGAAUAAAAGAUGGCUCCGGCUAUCACUACGGGAUGGGCCCGCGGCGCAUUAGCUAGUUGGUAAGGUAACGGCUUACCAAGGCGACGAUGCGUAGCCGACCUGAGAGGGUGAUCGGCCACACUGGGACUGAGACACGGCCCAGACUCCUACGGGAGGCAGCAGUAGGGAAUCUUCCGCAAUGGACGAAAGUCUGACGGAGCAACGCCGCGUGAGUGAUGAAGGAUUUCGGUUCGUAAAGCUCUGUUGUUAGGGAAGAACAAGUGCCGUUCAAAUAGGGCGGCACCUUGACGGUACCUAACCAGAAAGCCACGGCUAACUACGUGCCAGCAGCCGCGGUAAUACGUAGGUGGCAAGCGUUGUCCGGAAUUAUUGGGCGUAAAGCGCGCGCAGGCGGUCUUUUAAGUCUGAUGUGAAAGCCCACGGCUCAACCGUGGAGGGUCAUUGGAAACUGGGAGACUUGAGUACAGAAGAGGAGAGUGGAAUUCCACGUGUAGCGGUGAAAUGCGUAGAUAUGUGGAGGAACACCAGUGGCGAAGGCGACUCUCUGGUCUGUAACUGACGCUGAGGCGCGAAAGCGUGGGGAGCAAACAGGAUUAGAUACCCUGGUAGUCCACGCCGUAAACGAUGAGUGCUAGGUGUUAGGGGUUUCGAUGCCCUUAGUGCCGAAGUUAACACAUUAAGCACUCCGCCUGGGGAGUACGACCGCAAGGUUGAAACUCAAAGGAAUUGACGGGGGCCCGCACAAGCAGUGGAGCAUGUGGUUUAAUUCGAAGCAACGCGAAGAACCUUACCAGGUC